rnacentral:misc_RNA from 1 species
AAGACUAUAGACCUGCGGAGUACCUGCGGAGGGAUCAUUAUUGAAGUCUCUGAGAGGUUUCGUUGCUGACUCUCCGGAGUAUGUGCACGCCUCUCACACUUUAUUCAACCACCUGUGCACCUCUCGUAGCUUCUCAGAUGCUUUCAGUCUUCGGACUGGUGGGGACUGCUGCAGUGACUCUGCUCACAGCUUCAGUCCGAUAUCUGAGGGGUUGCGCACUACACAAACUCUGUUAAAGUU